AUCCAUCUGAUGAGUCCUAAAUAUGACGAAACACGCGUCCAGGAU
rnacentral:hammerhead_ribozyme from 1 species